rnacentral:rRNA from 1 species
UACGUAGGGGGCAAGCGUUGUCCGGAUUUAUUGGGCGUAAAGAGCUCGUAGGCGGUUUGGUAAGUCAGGUGUGAAAUCUCCACGCUCAACGUGGAGGGGCCACCUGAUACUGCCAUGACUGGAGUCCGGUAGAGGAGUGUGGAAUUCCCGGUGUAGCGGUGAAAUGCGCAGAUAUCGGGAGGAACACCCGUAGCGAAGGCGGCACUCUGGGCCGGUACUGACGCUGAGAAGCGAAAGCAUGGGGAGCGAACAGG